rnacentral:lncRNA from 1 species
UCGCACCUGUGAACACUUAGCCCACGGAAAUGGAAACUUCUGCUCACCCCAAAGCCUGCACACAAGCGUCUUUGGUGACCUGCUUUGCCAUCUCUCCAGUGCUGGGGACAACCGAGGUGUCCUCCAGGGGUGCAGUCAGACAACCGAGGUGUGUCUGUCCGCGCCGAUCACUGCUCACCAGUGACGGGCGGGCAGGGAGCACAAGGGCUCGAAGGCGUCUCCAGGGGGUUGUGCCGCACUCGAAGCCCCAGCCCUGCACACUAAAGACAACGAGUUUCGGAACUGGGGAGCAGACUGGUGAGGCAGAGGAAAGACUCGGAAGUGACCGGUGUCGCCACUGAGAACGGUAACUCUGGUGCAUCCACUCUGUGGAACACUGGGUGAAGCUCAUCUAAAGAAGACAAAGCGCAUGGCUAAGUUGCACACAGAGAAUGACAAGCAUCAUUAAUAUAAGCAGACACGCAGUUUCUGGAGGUAAUUUUCAUUUUAAAUUCAUGACCACAAACCCCAAAUGAUCGUGCAGCGCAACUGGUAAUCCUGAAAUGCUUCCCUGGUAAGUUUAUUUUCCCUCUGAAAGUGAUUAUUUUGUGCAUUCCCUCCCCUCACAUCUCCCACAUUCCCUCCCUGUGUCUCAUCCAAAACGGGACCUUGCUUAACCCUUUACCGGAAAUUGGAAGCCCUCGGCCACAUCCUUGGCUCCCACCGGAAGCUCCCUCCCUGUCAGCCGGGACGUCAGCCCCUCCCUGCUCCUUUCAAAGAGGGUCCCCUGUCACCUCGCUGGGGACGUCUGUCCUGCAGCUCUGCCCUCCCUCCUGCGUCAUCAGAGACUGCCCAGGCGUCCCCGUCCGCGCAGGGCACACUGCAGGAUUUCCCAUAGCAAACUCCAUUCUCACUGGACGCGGACCUCUCUCAUGCUACCUCCAGGUCUUUGUGGGCAGUGACGGGCCGCCAGUUGUCCCCCAAAGACCCAUGGCCCCUUGCACACCCAGUGCUGCUGCAGCUGGUGAGUGGCCACCCAGCUAGUCCAGGGCCUCUGGGACUUUCAUGGGGACACUGAGUGAGGUCUGGGUAACAGAAUGUGGCACAGGUGACUUUGGCAACUCCACGCUUGGCUCAUGAAAUUCUCCUCUGUGAUCCUUUCCACCUCUCUGCCUGUGCUGGUUUGAUACUGACAGCCAGGGCCACUCUGAGCACACGGGCCGGAGCAGAUGCCAGGAAACCAGGUGCGGCUGUGCAUGCCUGUAACAUCAGCACUAAGGUCAAAGGGCUGCAAGUUCAAACCCAGCCAGGGCAACUUAGUGACAGAACCUGGUUUCAAAAUAAAAAAGAAAACAAGGGCUGGAGAAUAGACCUCAGAGCAGAGGCCCCAGGUUCAACCUUCAGUACCACACACACAUGAAGAAGAAAGAGGGAGAAGGAACAGGGGAAGGAGCAGGGGGAGGAAAGUGCUGGAGAUGGUAAGGAGCAGUGCCUGCCUCUCACUCUCCACGCUUACCACUGACUAGGAUUUAAAAGGGAAAGAAAGAAACUUCC